UGGGGAAUCUUGCACAAUGGGGGAAACCCUGAUGCAGCGACGCCGCGUGAGCGAUGAAGGUUUUCGAAUCGUAAAGCUCUGUCCUAUGGGAAGAUAAUGACGGUACCAUGGGAGGAAGCCCCGGCUAACUACGUGCCAGCAGCCGCGGUAAUACGUAGGGGGCGAGCGUUGUCCGGAAUUACUGGGCGUAAAGGGUUCGCAGGCGGGAUGGCAAGUCCGAUGUAAAAGGCGAAGGCUCAACCUUCGUAAGCAUCGGAAACUGUCAAGCUUGAGUGAAGGAGAGGCAAGUGGAAUUCCUAGUGUAGCGGUGGAAUGCGUAGAUAUUAGGAGGAAUACCGGUGGCGAAGGCGACUUGCUGGACUUCAACAGACGCUGAGGAACGAAAGGGUGGGUAGCAAACAGG
rnacentral:rRNA from 1 species